rnacentral:rRNA from 1 species
GGGGAAUAUUGGACAAUGGGGGCAACCCUGAUCCAGCGAUGCCGCGUGAGUGAAGAAGGCCUUCGGGUCGUAAAGCUCUUUAGGUUGGGAAGAAGUGUAUUGGGUUAAUACCCUGAUACGUUGACGGUACCGACAGAAUAAGCACCGGCAAACUCUGUGCCAGCAGCCGCGGUAAUCCAGAGGGUGCGAGCGUUGUCCGGAAUCACUGGGCGUAAAGGGCGCGUAGGUGGCCCGACAUGUCAAUGGUGAAAGCUCGACGCUUAACGUCGAGUCGGCCACUGAUACUGUUGGGCUGGAGCACUGUAGAGGCUCAUGGAAUUCCGAGUGUAGCGGUGGAAUGCGUAGAGAUCCGGAAGAACACCGGUGGCGAAGACGGUGAGCUGGGCAGUUGCUGACACUGAGGCGCGACAGCGUGGGGAGCAAA